GCCGGGCACUGUGGCAUAUGCCUAUAAUCCCAGCAACUCAGGAGGCUGAGGCAGGAGGAUCACAAGUUCAAGGCCAGCCUGAGCAAUCCUUUUUAUUUUGAGAUCCUGUCUCAA
rnacentral:sRNA from 1 species